UUUCAGAGAACCAUACAAAUUGGCCCGUGUUGACAGAUGUUUGUCACUUAGUAACUUCUUUCCAAGUUUUUUUUUUUUUUCCCCUCCCUCUUCCCUCCUCUAAGCCUUCUUCCGAGCCCGCUUUGUUGUUUUAAAAUAUGCAUGUCUCUCAGGAAUGCGAGUCACGAGUCCAAACUUCGUGUCCAACCUCCCACAAGAAAUGAUCCUUUUAUAGGGAACCCGAUAUGUCUCAAUCUGCACUUCACUCAAAGCCGCUGGAUAUAGGGCGCCGCUCCCUGCGCGCAAAUCACCGCGCCGAAGCGCAUUUCCACCCCCAUCCCCCCCCCCCCCCCCCCAAAAAAAAAAACCCACAACCAAACUACUAAACAAACAAACAAACAAAAAAAAAACCACGCAUGGCUCCCGGUGAGGAAAUACAGCUCCCAUGGUAUGGUGAGAAGGGAGUGCAGCCUGGAGGAAGGAAAAAAAAUACUUAAGAAAGGGAAAAUCAGGAAAAAAAGGAGGGGAGAAGGGAAGUUUUAUUCCUGCGCACGCCGCGCAGGGCCAUCGCAAGCAGUGGUUUUGCCAAGGACGUGCCCCUGCGCAGCUCCGGGUGCGUGGGGAGAAGACGUCAGCUCGUGGCGAGCGGAGGAGAGAUGGAAGAGCAGAGCCCAACUUCGGGAAAAGAGGGAAAAAAAGGGAGUAUCCCACAAAGCCCCGCUAUACACCGAUAACAAAACGUGUCACAUCUUCACUUAUUGCCGGAACAGAGCCGUGCCCUCAUCUGAACACCUCCGAAGUGAUUACUGGAUCCCUCUCUGAUAAAUCAGUUUGUGGAACCGAGCCGGGAGCACACAGACAAAAAGAUACGUGUCACAGACUCUUUGCAAAGAGCCGGGAGACAGCAGAAACCCUUUGCUGCUGCAAAUGAAGGAAGAGAGUCAACGCCAUUAAAAAAAAAUGAAGGCGAACCCACCCGUACCUGAGCGCUGCAGGGUGCGGCGGUCCCCGCCCCACCGCCGUGCCCCGUGCCCAUCUCCCGACCCUGGCUGUGCUGCAUCACAAGUCCGCACAAGCGACGGAGCGAUAAAUCCUACCAAAAAUAAGACAGAUCUCCUCAUCGAUGUGUAAUAAAGUUAAAGGACAUUGUUUUGUCAGACAAGCGCUAAGUAGAAAAUAAAUCUUUGGGUCUGGGGAAACAAAACGCAGUGCUGUUGGCAUGUGUGUAAAUUUACUUUUAAGAGCAAUAAAUCAAUGUUAAAUUAAACAGCUGGGUUCCUAUCUCGGAGAAUGGUCCGCGGUGAAGGAAACCUCGGCGGAGCCCGCUCCCUGUCCCCGCCACAUCCCCGCGGGCCGGGGGGCACCCACCGGGGGACACCCAGACACGGGGCACCCAUCUGGGGGGGCACCUGACCGGGAGGCUCUCAGCCGGGGCGGGACCUGCCCCAAUCCUUGGGGCCCCACCGAGCCGCCCCCGCUGCCUUGCGCCGGGGUUAAGCAGAGUAACCCGCCGAAACUGCUCAAUGCUGGCAUUAUCCGAGCACUAAUUUCAUCAUUUCUGCAUCAGGAGGCAGAGGCACGGCACGCAGCGCGCUGCCCUGCCUGUCGCUGGGAUCUAAUGUGGAGUGCCCGUCUACGGGGCGGCCGCGAAGGGUGCGAGGAAACGGGGUGCCCCCGGCACGCUGUGUGGGGUGAGAUCCUUCAGAUGCUGAGAGAAGGAGAGAAAGGAGGGAAAGGAGAGGGGAGAAAACGGGGAGAGUAGAAAGAAGGGGAGAAAAGAAAGGGAGGAAGGAGGAGAGAAAAAGAACGUGAAGAGAGAGAAAAUAAAUAUGAAGACAGGAAAGGAAGAAAGGAAAAUGGAAAGGGAGAAAAGGGGAGAAAGGAAGAAAAGAAGAAAAAUAGGAAAGAGGGAAGGAAAGAGAAAGAAGAAAGAAGGAAGGAGAACUGAGCUGAGGAGACGCGCAGUAAAGAUGAAGCACUCCGGUGUAGACACAACGCGAAUCAAUAAGUUAUUAAAAGCCCCGAACAACAAAAGCAAUAUUGCUAAGCAGAAAACAGCUUGGUUUUCUGUUAGAGAAUGUCUGUGUCUGACUGAGAAAUUUGAAGUUAUCAAGUAAAAUUUUAGAAGGACUGAGAAUAAAGGUAUUUGAGUGCAUUGGCUCUCACUAGUGUUACUCAUUCUCUCCCGAGCACGGGGACGAAGGCUCGGACGGAGGAUUCACGGUGACCGCAGCAGUGCGCUGCCCCCCGUCCCCCUUCCCGCUGUGUGCACACUGUUCGCUUUAUUUCCACAGAAAUGAUGCAAACGAGGAGCAGAAGCUUUUUUAAAAUUAUUUUUUAAAUUAUUUUUAUUUUUUUCCCCACGGGAUCCCUGCAAGUUUCAAAAACAUAAAAGGUGACCCUCGGCGGGACGGGCACCGCAGCGGACAUCUUGCCCGCUCUGCCUUUGUUUUGCUCUCUUAGAAAGGAGGAUCCCAACACACGGCAAAGUUGGACGCCGUGUUAGUUUGUUUGCAGAUAAGGGCAUUUUGGUCUCCAAGUUCCACCCCGGGAACUGCGAUCAGGUAACAGUCACAGCAGUGCGUUCUGCUCAUCACAAACCGCUUUCUGCCGCACUCUGAAUGCUUCACGCAUCGCCAGGACAGAGCCCCGCUUGCAUUUUGCCGCAUUUAUUUCUAUUAUUUCCCACCACAACAGAGUCCCGAAGGUCGGUCAACACCGUUCAGGUGCACUCUGCGCACCUCCUCCGCACUGAAACGCGCUCGGAGCAGAGCGUGCGAUCGGGGAGUUUAAUUAGGAAAGAUGGAGAAAUAGAUUAUCCUAAUAACCAGGCGAACAAAUGAAGGACAAAGAACCGAGUGGUCCCCUCGGAUGAUAAACGGAGCUGCCCCCGCGCCUCCCCCGACGUCUGCGGCGUCCGGG
rnacentral:lncRNA from 7 species